rnacentral:misc_RNA from 1 species
GAUGAAGAACGUAGCAAAAUGCUAUAAGUAAUGUGAAUUGCAGAAUUCAGUGAAUCAUCGAAUCUUUGAACGCACAUUGCGCCCGCCAGUAUUCUGGCGGGCAUGCCUGUUCGAGCGUCAUUUCAACCCUCAAGCACAGCUUGGUGUUGGGACUCGCGUUAAUUCGCGUUCCUCAAAUUGAUUGGCGGUCACGUCGAGCUUCCAUAGCGUAGUAGUAAAACCCUCGUUACUGGUAAUCGUCGCGGCCACGCCGUUAAACCCCAACUUCUGAAUGUUGACCUCGGAUCAGGUAGGAAUACCCGCUGAACUUAAGCAUAUCAAUAAGCGGAGGA